rnacentral:rRNA from 3 species
GUUAUAUGGUCAAGUGAAGAAGCGCAUACGGUGGAUGCCUUGGCAGUCAGAGGCGAUGAAAGACGUGGUAGCCUGCGAAAAGCUUCGGGGAGUCGGCAAACAGACUGUGAUCCGGAGAUGUCUGAAUGGGGGAACCCAGCCAUCAUAAGAUGGUUAUCUUGUACUGAAUACAUAGGUGCAAGAGGCGAACCAGGGGAACUGAAACAUCUAAGUACCCUGAGGAAAAGAAAUCAACCGAGAUUCCCUUAGUAGUGGCGAGCGAACGGGGACCAGCCCUUAAGUUGUAUUGAGAUUAGCGGAACACUCUGGAAAGGGUGGCCAUAGUGGGUGAUAGCCCUGUACGCGAAAAUCCCUUUGCAAUGAAAUCGAGUAGGACGGGGCACGAGAAACCUUGUCUGAAUAUGGGGGGACCAUCCUCCAAGGCUAAAUACUACUGACUGACCGAUAGUGAACCAGUACCGUGAGGGAAAGGCGAAAAGAACCGCGGAGAGCGGAGUGAAAUAGAUCCUGAAACCGUAUGCGUACAAGCAGUGGGAGCCCACUUUGUUGGGUGACUGCGUACCUUUUGUAUAAUGGGUCAGCGACUUAUUUUCAGUGGCGAGCUUAACCGAAUAGGGGAGGCGUAGCGAAAGCGAGUCUUAAUAGGGCGUCUAGUCGCUGGGAAUAGACCCGAAACCGGGCGAUCUAUCCAUGGGCAGGUUGAAGGUUGGGUAACACUAACUGGAGGACCGAACCGACUACCGUUGAAAAGUUAGCGGAUGACCUGUGGAUCGGAGUGAAAGGCUAAUCAAGCUCGGAGAUAGCUGGUUCUCCUCGAAAGCUAUUUAGGUAGCGCCUCAUGUAUCACUGUAGGGGGUAGAGCACUGUUUCGGCUAGGGGGUCAUCCCGACUUACCAAACCGAUGCAAACUCCGAAUACCUACAAGUGCCGAGCAUGGGAGACACACGGCGGGUGCUAACGUCCGUCGUGAAAAGGGAAACAACCCAGACCGUCAGCUAAGGUCCCAAAGUCAUGGUUAAGUGGGAAACGAUGUGGGAAGGCUUAGACAGCUAGGAGGUUGGCUUAGAAGCAGCCACCCUUUAAAGAAAGCGUAAUAGCUCACUAGUCGAGUCGGCCUGCGCGGAAGAUGUAACGGGGCUCAAACCAUGCACCGAAGCUACGGGUAUCAUCUUAUGAUGAUGCGGUAGAGGAGCGUUCUGUAAGCCUGUGAAGGUGAGUUGAGAAGCUUGCUGGAGGUAUCAGAAGUGCGAAUGCUGACAUGAGUAACGACAAUGGGUGUGAAAAACACCCACGCCGAAAGACCAAGGUUUCCUGCGCAACGUUAAUCGACGCAGGGUUAGUCGGUCCCUAAGGCGAGGCUGAAAAGCGUAGUCGAUGGAAAACAGGUUAAUAUUCCUGUACUUCUGGUUAUUGCGAUGGAGGGACGGAGAAGGCUAGGCCAGCCUGGCGUUGGUUGUCCAGGUUUAAGGUGGUAGGCUGAGAUCUUAGGUAAAUCCGGGAUCUUAAGGCCGAGAGCUGAUGACGAGUGUUCUUUUAGAACACGAAGUGGUUGAUGCCAUGCUUCCAAGAAAAGCUUCUAAGCUUCAGGUAACCAGGAACCGUACCCCAAACCGACACAGGUGGUUGGGUAGAGAAUACCAAGGCGCUUGAGAGAACUCGGGUGAAGGAACUAGGCAAAAUGGCACCGUAACUUCGGGAGAAGGUGCGCCGGUGGAGGUGAAGCAUUUACUGCGUAAGCCCCUGCCGGUCGAAGAUACCAGGCCGCUGCGACUGUUUAUUAAAAACACAGCACUCUGCAAACACGAAAGUGGACGUAUAGGGUGUGACGCCUGCCCGGUGCCGGAAGGUUAAUUGAUGGGGUUAGCGCAAGCGAAGCUCUUGAUCGAAGCCCCGGUAAACGGCGGCCGUAACUAUAACGGUCCUAAGGUAGCGAAAUUCCUUGUCGGGUAAGUUCCGACCUGCACGAAUGGCGUAACGAUGGCGGCGCUGUCUCCACCCGAGACUCAGUGAAAUUGAAAUCGCUGUGAAGAUGCAGUGUAUCCGCGGCUAGACGGAAAGACCCCGUGAACCUUUACUAUAGCUUUGCACUGGACUUUGAAUUUGCUUGUGUAGGAUAGGUGGGAGGCUUUGAAGCGUGGACGCCAGUCUGCGUGGAGCCAACCUUGAAAUACCACCCUGGCAACUUUGAGGUUCUAACUCAGGUCCGUUAUCCGGAUCGAGGACAGUGUAUGGUGGGUAGUUUGACUGGGGCGGUCUCCUCCUAAAGAGUAACGGAGGAGUACGAAGGUGCGCUCAGACCGGUCGGAAAUCGGUCGUAGAGUAUAAAGGCAAAAGCGCGCUUGACUGCGAGACAGACACGUCGAGCAGGUACGAAAGUAGGUCUUAGUGAUCCGGUGGUUCUGUAUGGAAGGGCCAUCGCUCAACGGAUAAAAGGUACUCCGGGGAUAACAGGCUGAUACCGCCCAAGAGUUCAUAUCGACGGCGGUGUUUGGCACCUCGAUGUCGGCUCAUCACAUCCUGGGGCUGAAGCCGGUCCCAAGGGUAUGGCUGUUCGCCAUUUAAAGUGGUACGCGAGCUGGGUUUAGAACGUCGUGAGACAGUUCGGUCCCUAUCUGCCGUGGACGUUUGAGAUUUGAGAGGGGCUGCUCCUAGUACGAGAGGACCGGAGUGGACGAACCUCUGGUGUUCCGGUUGUCACGCCAGUGGCAUUGCCGGGUAGCUAUGUUCGGAAAAGAUAACCGCUGAAAGCAUCUAAGCGGGAAACUUGCCUCAAGAUGAGAUCUCACUGGAACCUUGAGUUCCCUAAAGGGCCGUCGAAGACUACGACGUUGAUAGGUUGGGUGUGUAAGCGCUGUGAGGCGUUGAGCUAACCAAUACUAAUUGCCCGUGAGGCUUGACCAUAUAACACCCAAGCAAUU